AUGAACGCUGGCGGCGUGCCUAAUCCAUGCCAGUCGAUCGAACAGACGAGGAGCUUGCUCCUCUGACGUUAGCGGCGGACGGGUUAGUAACACGUGGAUAACCUACCUAUAAGACUGGGAUAACUUCGGGAAACCGGAGCUAAUACCGGAUAAUAUAUUGAACCGCAUGGUUCAAUAGUGAAAGACGGUUUUGCUGUCACUUAUAUAUGGAUCCGCGCCGCCUUAGCUAGUUGGUAAGGUAACGGCUUACCAAGGCAACGCUGCGUAGCCGACCUGAGAGGGUGAUCGGCCACACUGGAACUGAGACACGGUCCAGACUCCUACGGGAGGCAGCAGUAGGGAAUCUUCCGCAAUGGGCGAAAGCAUGACGGAGCAACGCCGCGUGAGUGAUGAAGGUCUUCGGAUCGUAAAACUCUGUUAUUAGGGAAGAACAAAUAUGUAAGUAACUAUGCACGUCUUGACGGUACCUAAUCAGAAAGCCACGGAUAACUACGUG
rnacentral:rRNA from 1 species